GCGAACGGGUGAGUAACACGUGAGCAACCUGCCCCUGACUCUGGGAUAAGCGCUGGAAACGGCGUCUAAUACUGGAUAUGUCCCGUCACCGCAUGGUGUGCGGGUGGAAAGAUUUUUCGGUUGGGGAUGGGCUCGCGGCCUAUCAGCUUGUUGGUGAGGUAAUGGCUCACCAAGGCGUCGACGGGUAGCCGGCCUGAGAGGGUGACCGGCCACACUGGGACUGAGACACGGCCCAGACUCCUACGGGAGGCAGCAGUGGGGAAUAUUGCACAAUGGGCGGAAGCCUGAUGCAGCAACGCCGCGUGAGGGAUGACGGCCUUCGGGUUGUAAACCUCUUUUAGCAGGGAAGAAGCGAGAGUGACGGUACCUGCAGAAAAAGCACCGGCUAACUACGUGCCAGCAGCCGCGGUAAUACGUAGGGUGCAAGCGUUAUCCGGAAUUAUUGGGCGUAAAGAGCUCGUAGGCGGUCUGUCGCGUCUGCUGUGAAAUCCCGAGGCUCAACCUCGGGCUUGCAGUGGGUACGGGCAGACUAGAGUGCGGUAGGGGAGAUUGGAAUUCCUGGUGUAGCGGUGGAAUGCGCAGAUAUCAG
rnacentral:rRNA from 1 species